UGGGGAAUUUUGGACAAUGGGCGAAAGCCUGAUCCAGCAAUGCCGCGUGUGUGAAGAAGGCCUUCGGGUUGUAAAGCACUUUUGUCCGGAAAGAAAUCCUUGGCUCUAAUACAGUCGGGGGAUGACGGUACCGGAAGAAUAAGCACCGGCUAACUACGUGCCAGCAGCCGCGGUAAUACGUAGGGUGCAAGCGUUAAUCGGAAUUACUGGGCGUAAAGCGUGCGCAGGCGGUUUGCUAAGACCGAUGUGAAAUCCCCGGGCUCAACCUGGGAACUGCAUUGGUGACUGGCAGGCUAGAGUAUGGCAGAGGGGGGUUAGAAUUCCACGUGUAGCAGUGAAAUGCGUAGAGAUGUGGAGGAAUACCGAUGGCGAAGGCAGCCCCCUGGGCCAAUACUGACGCUCAUGCACGAAAGCGUGGGGGAGCAAAGCAGGAUUAGAUACCCUGGUAGUCCACGCCCUAAACGAUGUCAACUAGUUGUUGGGGAUUCAUUUCCUUAGUAACGUAGCUAACGCGUGAAGUU
rnacentral:rRNA from 1 species